AGGCACUGAGAAGGCUCCCUUGUCUGGGGUCCUUCUCUGUUGUUUGGUGCAUCAGGCACAUAGAGGGGCCCUCCUGGCUGGGGUCCUCCUCUGUAGAUCCGCGCAUCAUGCAGUUAAAGGGGCACCCUGGGUGGGGUCCUACUCUGUAGUUCAGUGCCUCAGGCGUUUGAUGGGCUGGCUUCUCUAUUGUUCAUCUGCCAAGGCUGGCCUGAGGGGGAGGGAGGCUAUGGUUAUGGCUCCACCCCCUUCGCGUGACUCAGCAAUAUCGCCUUGCUUCCACUGCUGCCUGGCUUUCCUCCACAGGCAUUUCCCAUCACGACCUCCUCCCUCACAUCCCCUUGAUCUGUCUCUCUGCAGUCAACAGCAGCCCUCGCCCUGGGAUUGCGCCACAAUCCCUAAACUCCAGCUCCCAGCCACUGCACAUUCCAGGGGAUCUACAUCCCUGUCCGGGCAUCCUUCUUUUAUAUUAUUUUGAAGAUUUGCCUUGGUCCCAUUCGAGAUGCUGUGAAAUCCAGAGCAAGGACUGCUGGAGUCAAAACUUUUCUUGGGAUAGAAAACAACAAUCUGGAAAAUUUCCUGUCUUUUUUUUCUUCAGCCCAAUCAUGAUAUAUCAAGGGGGAAAUGUAAUAUUGUAAUGAAAUAAACAGAAGGAAGAAUGCAAAUCUGACUAUUAAAGCCAUAGUUAGACUUUGCCCAAAGA